rnacentral:misc_RNA from 1 species
GAAAUGCGAUAAGUAGUGUGAAUUGCAGAAUUCAGUGAAUCAUCGAAUCUUUGAACGCACAUUGCGCCCCUUGGUAUUCCAUGGGGCAUGCCUGUUCGAGCGUCAUUUGUACCCUCAAGCUCUGCUUGGUGUUGGGCGUUUGUCCCGUCUCCGCGCGUGGACUCGCCCCAAAGUGAUUGGCAGCCGGCGUACUGGUCCCGGAGCGCAGCACAUGUCGCGCAAACGAGUGCCUUGGUACGGCGGCGUCCAUAAGCCCCUCUCUCACGCUCUUGACCUCGGAUCAGGUAGGGAUACCCGCUGAACUUAAGC